UACGAAGGGGGCUAGCGUUGCUCGGAAUCACUGGGCGUAAAGGGUGCGUAGGCGGGUCUUUAAGUCAGGGGUGAAAUCCUGGAGCUCAACUCCAGAACUGCCUUUGAUACUGAAGAUCUUGAGUCCGGGAGAGGUGAGUGGAACUGCGAGUGUAGAGGUGAAAUUCGUAGAUAUUCGCAAGAACACCAGUGGCGAAGGCGGCUCACUGGCCCGGUACUGACGCUGAGGUGCGGAAAGCGUGGGGAGCAAACAGG
rnacentral:rRNA from 1 species